rnacentral:rRNA from 1 species
AUUGAACGCUGGCUGCAGGCCUAACACAUGCAAGUCGAACGAGUUGCGGACUGGUGAGUAAUGUCUGGGAAACUGCCCGAUGGAGGGGGAUAACUACUGUAACCGGUAGCUAAUACCGCAUACCAUCGGAUGUGCCCAGAUGGGAUUAGCUAGUAGGUGGGGUAACGGCUCACCUAGGCGACGAUCCCUAGCUGGUCUGAGAGGAUGACCAGACACACUGGAACUGAGACACGGGCCAGACGCCUACGGGAGGCAGCAGUGGGGAAUAUUGCACAAUGGGCGCAAGCCUGAUGCAGCCAUGCCGCGUGUAUGAAGAAGGCCUUCGGGUUGUAAAGUACUUUCAGCGAGGAGGCGUUACUCGCAGAAGAAGAACCGGCUAACUCCGUGCCAGCAGCCGCGGUAAUAC